UAUGAGACUAAUGGACUGUAGGUGCAGUGAGU
rnacentral:piRNA from 1 species